rnacentral:tRNA from 1 species
GCCCUCAUAGUUCAAUGGAUAGAACGCAACCUUGCGGAGGUUGUAAUCGGGGUUCGAAUCCUCGUGGGGGCA